rnacentral:lncRNA from 1 species
AUCCAUAUGCACCCUUUUUUUCUUGGUUCAAGAAUAGCACAAACAUCUAUAUUGUAUUUCUCUAAAUAAGAGUGUAACUCUAUAUACAUACUAUCUUUAUUAAAUCCUCUAACAUUCCAUACCCAAAAAUUCAUUUACAAGAGUUUUUCCCCCACGACCUCUACCAUGCAAUUUACCUUGUUUAUUCUUCAUCACACUGCCUUCUUGUAGAAUAAAAUCCCCAAGAGUAACUGGCGUUGCCAGCUUCAGUUCUCCCCCCUCAUCUUCCUCAUCUAUUUUGUGAUUCCUAGGGGUCUGCAUUACUACUUCUAGUUCCUUUUGCUCUCCAUCUGGUUCAUUCCCAACUAUUACUCACUGGCUUAAACCCAACUCAUUACUAUUAACUCCAUUCUCAGGGCUACACUUCUCAGAGUCAACAACUUCCGUGGGAGCCUCCAACUCCAGAACGUUCUCAAGUACCUCAAAGUUGUUAUGAAAAUCCAUAUUCAAGCCAUCCACAUUUGAUUUAUGCAGCACAAUCUACUCAACAAUCUCCUUUACUUGCACAUAAGUUUUAGAUGAUCCACUUGGAAAGCUUGCUGCUGAGGCAGAUAUCAAUUCAUCUUCCUUCUUAUUGCCCUUAGACAUUAUUUUUUCCAAAUUUUCAUUUUGAAUCACCUUCUUCCUCCAAGUCGGCUUAGGAGCCUCAUAUGAUCGAGUAACAGGGGAACUUAUAGCUAAUUCUACACGUUCACCAUCCUCAAGAACAAUCGCAAUUGAGUCCAGGCAGCAAGAUUCAUAAGAUAGUAGACAAAUUUUAACAUCAACUUCUGCAUUAACAUAGCUAUGAAUAGGCUAACCAAUUUGAGCCACAACCCAUCUAACUCCUUAAAGAUAAAUCAGCCAUAGUGGGAGAGAUUGUAUGGUGAUCCGUACAAGCUUCUCUUUGGGCAAAAGAUCAAGUGGUCGAAUUCCUUUAGUCCAACGUCUCAAAACAACAGUAGAAUGGUGAAUAUGCCACAACCGCCAAAAAACCCAGUCGCAUAACUCUUUGGAGGGGAAUUCCAAAAGGUAAAACCCAACAUAAAAAAUCGAUAUAGUUAUGCUUCCUCCAUAUCCCCAAAGUUGAUUCGCCAUAGAAGCGAAAACUCUCAUUGGCGGACUAGAGCCAACAAACUGAGCAACCAGAGCUGAUUGCAUCCUCUGAAACCCUUGAUCCAGCACCUCUUUGGGAUUUUUAGAGCACUAUCAAUGAAACAGUCAUCUGUAAGAUCCACAUGCCUUAGCAAAGGCUCCAGAUCCAAAAGCGAUGCCCCGGUUCUAGGUGUGGAUGUGGUAGGAAUGGCGGGGGCAGUGGAGAUCGUUGAAGUGUGAGGAUUGACAGGGGCAUUAGAAAUUGGGGGGUCGGAAAUGGGAGGAGACAAAGAAGAGGAGGCAGUGGAAAUCGGGGGAUCAAAAAAGGAUGGAGUCGAAGAAUGGGAUGCAGAUUUUCUAGAAAUAACGUGCGUCAUUCAAAACCGAAUCAAUCAAAAGAGGAAGCAACACGAUACAUCCGUAGAUCUUAGAGAUCUGCGGGCAAAGAUCUUGCUCACCAAGAGAGCUCCAAAGGAGCGCACCCACAGAGGAAACCCUCCAGCGACGGUCUUUGAGAAAAUAGAGAAAUCACUCAGAGUUGAGAGGAUUUCACACGAUUUCCACGCCCGUUGCUGCUGUUAAAUAUUUUAACUUAGCACAAAUUGACAAGUCCCUCAUUUAAAGCAACAAACAUCAUUUAUUCGUUUCAUUUAACCGUGGUUUCAUGUUGGUCGUUGUUAAAUGUUUGAUAUAAAUAUCAGCAGCCCUCCCCUUCUCC